rnacentral:siRNA from 1 species
GGACGAGGAUGCACAAAUCUGGU